rnacentral:rRNA from 1 species
UACGGGGGGGGCAAGCGUUGUUCGGAAUUACUGGGCGUAAAGGGCUUGUAGGUGGCCAACUAAGUCAGACGUGAAAUCCCUCGGCUUAACCGGGGAACUGCGUCUGAUACUGGAUGGCUUGAGUGUGGGAGAGGGAUGCGGAAUUCCAGGUGUAGCGGUGAAAUGCGUAGAUAUCUGGAGGAACACCGGUGGCGAAGGCGGCAUCCUGGACCAUUACUGACACUGAAAAAGCGAAAGCCAGGGGGAGCAAACGGG